rnacentral:rRNA from 1 species
AAGGAGAAGUCGUAACAAGGUUUCCGUAGGUGAACCUGCGGAAGGAUCAUUGUCGAAUCGAGACCGAAGGAUGACCGGCGAAUCGUAAUCGCGUAUCGGAGAGGGCCCGCGAGCGGUUAUCUCGCUCGCGCGGCUCGCGUCGCGUCGGCGUGGGGCUCUACCCGAGUCCCGCGUCGUGCCGGCGAACGAACGAAUUCAGCACGGAUCGUGCCAAGGAGGUUAACGGAGAGGAUCGUCGUCCGGACGGCCCUCGCUGUCCUGGACGCGGGACGGGGGGCGGGAGGGCACGCGCGAUCUCUGCUCGAGUCAGAAUGACUCUCGGCAACGGAUAUCUCGGCUCCUGCAUCGAUGAAGAACGUAGCGAAAUGCGAUACCUGGUGUGAAUUGCAGAAUCCCGCGAACCAUCAAUUCUUUGAACGCAAGUUGCGCCCGAAGCCAUUCGGCCGAGGGCACGCCUGCCUGGGUGUCGUGAAUCCCCUUGCCCCAGGGCAACCGCUCGGGCGCAUAAUAUGGUCUCCCGCGGUGUCGGCGCGCGCGUCGCGUCGAGGUGCGGCUGGCCGAAAAUCGAGCAUGGCGGCGACGGGCUCCGCGGCGUUCGGUGGAUCGAUAGAGAUUGGCUGCGCCGCGGGCUCGUCGUGUGGCGAGCUCCGGACUUUGACAUCCCCACAGUGCGAUCCCAGGUCAGGCGGGGCUACCCGCUGAGUUUAAGCAUAUCAAUAAGCGGAGGAGAAGAAACUAACGAGGAUUCCCUUAGUAGCGGCGAGCGAACCGGGAAGAGCCCAGCGUGAGAAUCGUCCGUCAUCGGCGGCCGAAUUGUAGUCUGGAGAAGCGUCCUCAGUGACGGACCGGAGCCAAGUUCACUGGAAGGUGGCGCCGGAGAGGGUGAGAGCCCCGUCGUGCCCGGACCCUGUC